rnacentral:misc_RNA from 1 species
AACGCACCUUGCGCUCCUUGGUAUUCCGAGGAGCAUGCCUGUUUGAGUGUCAUUAAAUUCUCAACCUCUUUAGUUUGUCUAACAAACUUGAAUUGGCUUGGAUAUGGGAGUUGCGGGCUUCUAAGCAAGUCGGCUCUUCUUAAAUGCAUUAGCAGAACUUUUGUUGACCAUCAUUGGUAUGAUAAUUAUCUAUGCCAUUUCUGAUGUGAAGCAGUUUAUAAUAAAGUUCAGCUUCUAACUGUCCAUUGACUUGGACAAUUUAUUGACUAUUUGACCUCAAAUCAGGUAGGACUACCCGCUGAACUUAA